AUGUUGCCGAAGACCAUCAUCAAGCUUCAGAUGCUAGGCUAUCUUCGUGCUGGUAGGAAACCUGUGGAUGAAGACGUCUCAUACAAAGAACUUGCAGAUCGAUAUCCACGUGUUCCACCAGUAAUGAGGAAUAGGCUAUGGCUUUUGCCUCUCUAUUCGGUGUUGCUUUGUGUAUCCUGGUGUGCCCUUCUGCUUUCGAGCACUGAUGAUGGCAUGAACCCUCGUGAUGCAUGCACUAAGAUGUGCUGCGGUCUACUGCCAGCUGUUGCAAUGCAUUUAGACAUGUAUGGUGUUCUGGUGCCAAGAGAGAUAAGGAAGCUUAAAGCCCUACGCACACUUGGUGUUGUGAACAUCGCAAGGCGGGGGAAGGAUGUUCUGAAAGACAUAAAAGGGCUUACUGGUUUACGCAAGUUGGGAGUGACCGGUGUCACCAAGGAAAACGGACAUGAGCUGUGUUUAGUGAUUGUUGGUCUGGGCCGCCUGGAGUCAUUGUCAAUCCGAUCAGAGGGGAAACCAGGUUUAUCUGGCUGCUUGGAUGGAGAGUUCUCGUUUCCAGACACACUGCAGAGCAUGAAGCUGUACGGCAACCUGCUCGAGCUACCGAAAUGGAUCAAUGGGCUCAAUAAUCUGGUGAAGUUGAAGCUACGGAGCACCGGUCUUUUGAGUGUGAAUGCCACGAUGGAUGUCCUUGGGAAUCUACAAAGCAUGGCCUCCUUACAUCUGUUAAAUAAGUCAUUUGACCUGGCUGAAGGGGUUAGUCUCAAACUCCUUCCGAAGAUGUUCCCGAGCCUAGUGGUAUUGGAGCUGGAUUGCCUAGAUGGCCUCACAUCGGUGAAGUUUAAACAAGGAGCAACCCUGAAGCUUAAAGUUAUCAAGUUCAAAAGUUCAAGCGCUGCACCCAACAUUGGGUUGUUUCGCGGGCUAUCAUCUCUCCCAAGCCUCAAGGAAUUUAUGUUGUAUGACCAAGAGUACAAGGAAGACUUCGUGAAGGACUUGCGUGACCAGGUUGCUGCGAAUCGAAGUGGUGCUGUUUUGAAGAGGUUCGGAGCCCAAGCAUGA
rnacentral:rRNA from 1 species